UUUUUUUUUUUUUUGUCAUUAGUGUGGAGAAGAGUUUUUUUAUAUAGAUCCAAUAUUUAAACUCAAAAUUGAUAGAAAACUGUGAAGCCCAUUAUCUUAGUUGUGUCCUCGUCAUGUUAAUUUUACCGUCCAACGUUCAAUGACUAAGUAAUUAAGUUAGGAGUUUGUCGAUUGUAUAAGAGUUAGAUGGAACAGUAACUUAGACUUAUUUGAAAAUUAGGACAAAAAAUUUCGAGUUUACAAAAAUAAGAUAUAAUUAAUAAGUUAUGCACCAUAGGAUAAUUCCCAAUCCAUUUUAAAAGUUCGAACUUUACUUUGAUUGUUGUAGGCAUAUCAGGUGCUCGGUCAUGCAGUAAGCCCGGAACUCUUAAAAUGGGUUGAGAAUUAUUUUGCGGGGGUGCCUUACUUAUUAAUUAGUUUCUAAUUUUACAAACUUAAAAACUUUUAUUAUAAUUUCUAAAUCAGUUUAAGUUAUUGUCUUAAAAGAUCAUCUAACUCACAUAAAAAUAAGAACUUUAUAAUAAUUCGAGUUGUAAUUUUGGACAUUUAGAUUGAUAAUAUAGGAGGACAAUUUAAACAAUUAUUUUCAAAAGCUUCAAUCAAUCUUGAAUUUGGAUGUGGAGAUGAACAUCUUAAUCGCAACUCCAAACUUGUGCCAAAAUUUAAGAUGAAGAAAAUUACUAUAAACUGAAAUUAGGUCUAAUCUGCGAUAACGUAAAAGAGAAGAAUUUCAAUAGCAAUUCUUUCUUUAAUGAAUGUCUUAAUGUAGGGCAUAAAAUUCCUUUUUAAAUAAGUGUGGUGUCAUGGGCAAGUUGUGUAAAAUUAUUUAUUUCAUUUAAAGUUUUAAACUACCUCCACGAUUGUAUGCCCCCCUUUUGCUCUCCCACGCAUGUGAUGCAAACAAACAACUUUCAUCUUCAAUCUCACCCAAUUCAAACCAUUCUCGUAUUUUAUUGCUUUUCUAUUUGGAUUAUUAUUUCAAUCUUCACAAAAAGUUGUACUCCCUCCAUCCCAAACGAAAUGUCCUGUUUUUCUUUUUGGAUUGUCCCAAACGAAAUGUCUUGUUUCCUUUUUGAGAAAAAAUAAGAGAUAAUAAGUGUCUAAUUAAGUUACUAAUUCAGUCUUAAUUAAAACCUUAACUCUUAAACCUUAAUUAAGUUACUUUAUUGUAGGAUCCACUAAAUUUUAACUUUAUACAACACCACUUAAUACUCUAAUUAACUUGCUCCUUAAUAACUGUGCCCAAAAGAAACAUGACAUUUCGUUCGGGACGGAGGGAGUAUAUAAAUUCGCCAAAUAAUUUCUAUGUUGAGAUUCACUUUGCAUUUUUUGUACAAUUAUGUGCGGAUCGGUCCGAUCUCUGAAAUUCGUUCAUAAAAAUUGUUUCAUGAGUUAAGACUAAUUAGAUAGCCUCACAAGAGACUAUUCCUUUGAUCUUAUAUACAAAAUUGUGUAUUAAACUAAUUAGAAACAAAGAUAACAUUGUUUUAAAUUUAAUCAAAGAUAGUUUUUUAAAUACAAUCAAUUCUGUUACUCCCUCCGUCCCUAAAAUAAUUUCUUCUUUUUCCAGGGAAUUAAAUUCGCCAAAUAAUUCAUUUAUUCACUUUCAUUUUUGACAUAUGUGCGGAUCGUCCGAUCUAAAUCUUCAUAAAUUUUCUGAGUUAGACUUAUAGCUCACAAAGACUAUUAUCUUUUACAAAUUGUAUUAAACUAUUAAACAAAGAUAAUAUUGUUUUAUUUACCAAGAAUUUAUCAUAUUGUUAUUUUUAUACACAAGUUUGAUUCUUGGAAAAGAAAAAUAAGGCCAAAUAUUACAUCUCCGCGUAUCCAGCUUUGUUACAGCAAAGCAAAAUCUGAGAAAGAGAAAAAGAUAAGAGAAUAAUGGGGCCCACAAUAAGAGAAAUUAACAAACCUGUUUUCCUCUACCAAAAAAAAAAAAAACUGUUUUCCACAGCCUGGAAUUAUUGUCAAUAAUAAUCAAUGUAAUGUCAGAAAUUCAUACCAACUCUUUUUUCUUUUUUUCUUUCUUCUCUUUUUCCAUUGCUUAAUUACAGCGAAGAUCGCUCCUUCAAUCUAUCGACGCCAAAGCGGCAAAGCCCUUCUUUUCUUUUUCUUUUUUUCCUGUUUUUUUCUUAUUCUUUUUUUCAUAGUCCUAAAAUCUAAAAGCCAAAAAAAAANUCUCGUCUGAUAUCUCUGUUUUUGUUAAGUUUGAGUCUAGCUUUUUUUUCAAAAUAUGUAACUACUAUCUCUCAGCUGCACCCCUAUUCCAGAAAAUUAAUUAAAACCACCAAUAACAGCUGAACCAGCCAAAUUUAUGCCACAUUAUUGAACUCUUCGAUAAUUGAAUAAAACAGAUACUCAAUAAAUUACACAUUGAAGAAGACAGUACAUGAACACAAGUUUCCAUGUUGAAUUUUCAAAAUUGAUUUCUUGACUUCAAAGAGUUAGAUCAACACAAUCCAUCAAUACAUUUCUUUUUCCAAGUUUACUAUCAAAAGUGGGGGAGGAUAGAGCUAUAAUAUUGUACAAGUCAAGUGAAAAAAAUGAAUAAAUUAAAUACAACUAGCAAUCUUCCUUUUGAGGCUCAAAAAUGAGGUGAAGGAAAAUUAAAUACAACAUACGAAAUGCAACAUAUUCCAAAACAGACUUAAACUUAACCUGUAUGUGAUUCUCCAGUUAUCCUUUGA
rnacentral:lncRNA from 1 species